UGCAGUCGAGCGGUAGAGAGAAGCUUGCUUCUCUUGAGAGCGGCGGACGGGUGAGUAAUGCCUAGGAAUCUGCCUGGUAGUGGGGGAUAACGUUCGGAAACGGACGCUAAUACCGCAUACGUCCUACGGGAGAAAGCAGGGGACCUUCGGGCCUUGCGCUAUCAGAUGAGCCUAGGUCGGAUUAGCUAGUUGGUGGGGUAAUGGCUCACCAAGGCGACGAUCCGUAACUGGUCUGAGAGGAUGAUCAGUCACACUGGAACUGAGACACGGUCCAGACUCCUACGGGAGGCAGCAGUGGGGAAUAUUGGACAAUGGGCGAAAGCCUGAUCCAGCCAUGCCGCGUGUGUGAAGAAGGUCUUCGGAUUGUAAAGCACUUUAAGUUGGGAGGAAGGGCAGUUACCUAAUACGUGAUUGUUUUGACGUUACCGACAGAAUAAGCACCGGCUAACUCUGUGCCAGCAGCCGCGGUAAUACAGAGGGUGCAAGCGUUAAUCGGAAUUACUGGGCGUAAAGCGCGCGUAGGUGGUUUGUUAAGUUGGAUGUGAAAUCCCCGGGCUCAACCUGGGAACUGCAUUCAAAACUGACUGACUAGAGUAUGGUAGAGGGUGGUGGAAUU
rnacentral:rRNA from 1 species